GUUUCUCUUUGCUUCCAGAAGUGUUCUAGGAGGGAAACAUUGCAUCUUUGAAGUGUAAAGUCGAUUUUAUUACUCUCAGAUCAGCCCUAUGGAGAGACCCAUGUAGCAGGGGACAAAGCCUCCAUUGAACAGCCAUGAGAGAGAGCCUUCUUGGAAGCGGCUACUCUGGCUUCAGCCAUGCCCACAGUGUCUCAGCAGAUGUCCAAGGUUGAGAGAAGCUCUACUGAAGGACUGUACCCAAGGAGCCUCAUCCAUACCAGAAACUAAUUUAGAUGAUGAGAUUCUGGAGUUUGAGCUGACGCACUAGAUUUUGUGGACCUUAUGAAGAGUGCGUAUAUUUUACAUGUAGGAAGAAUCCAUGGGACUCCGCCGCUGUCAUUGUCUUAUCCCACAUGUGAAAAAGGCAUGGAAAGUGGAAGAACCUUGCUUGACUACAAAGAUGCCUUUGCACACUGGCCCAAAUUUCCACAAACCAGGGCAAGAAUGGCUGCAUAAAUUUUGGACCCUUCUGCAAAAUGAAAAUGCAGAGCUUUUUGUUCAAAAAAAA